ACUCAAAUGAAUUGACGGGGAUUCGCACAAGCGGUGGACCAUGUGGUUCAAUUCGACGGCAACCGAGGAACCUCACCAGGGCUUGAAAUGCUAUUGACAUUCUGGGGAAACUCAGAACUUCUCACAAGGACAGUAGCACAGGUGAUGCACGGCCCUCGUCAGUUCGUGAUGUGAAUUGUUCCCUUAAGUGGGGUAACGAACGCAACCCCUGUUGUGUGUUAUAUGUGUCACACGAGACUGCCUUCUUAUAGAAGGAGGAAGGAGGGGAUGACGCGAGGUCAGCGUGUCCCUUUGAUGCCCUGGGCUACACACGUGGUACAAUGGCGCGUACAAUGGGUCGCCAAGUCGCGAGACGGAGCUAAUCCCAUCAAAACGCGCCCCAGUUCAGAUUGGAGUCUGCAACUCGACUCCAUGAAGCCGGAAUCGCUAGUAAACGCAGAUCAGCUACGCUGCGUUGAAUACGUUCUCGAAUCUUGUACACACCGCCCGU
rnacentral:rRNA from 1 species